rnacentral:rRNA from 1 species
AUUGAACGCUGGCGGAAUGCUUUACACAUGCAAGUCGAACGGCAGCACGGGGGCAGCCCUGGUGGCGAGUGGCGAACGGGUGAGUAAUACAUCGGAACGUGCCCGGCCGUGGGGGAUAACGUAGCGAAAGAUACGCUAAUACCGCAUACGAUCUGAGGAUGAAAGCGGGGGACCUUCGGGCCUCGCGCGAUCGGAGCGGCCGAUGUCAGAUUAGGUAGUUGGUGGGGUAAAGGCCUACCAAGCCGACGAUCUGUAGCUGGUCUGAGAGGACGACCGGCCACACUGGAGCUGAGACACGGCCCAGGCUCCUACGGGAGGCAGCAGUGGGGAAUGUUGGACAGUGGGCGCAAGCCUGAUCCAGCCAUUCCGCGUGCAGGACGAAGGCCUUCGGGUUGUAAACUGCUUUUGUACGGAACGAAAAGGCUCUGGCUAAUACCUGGGGCUCAUGACGGUACCGUAAGAAUAAGCACCGGCUAACUACGUG